GUCGGUUCUUUUCAGUAAAUGAGCCAAAUGGUUACGCAAAGUCUGAAUGAGGGACACUUCAGAACACAAAAGUGAAAGAGGAUAUUAACCUACCAUCAGCUGAAAUAAAUAGGUAGGUUAUGAAAGAUAACUUUGAGAAGCUUCAUGUGAAUGUGCUGUUUGUUUAUUUUCUUCUUUAAAAGUGUUAGGCUAGAUGGAUGUCUGUUCUGUUUUCGCACACAGUUUUAUACUGUGCCAAGCAGAAAAAAAUAAAUCUUUUAAGACAUUACUGUUCUGCUCACGUAUAGGCAUACCAUAGCACAGCCUCUUGUGUUUUUAGCACACAAAUGCUGUUUUAAUAUUGGUGUUGCAUGCUAAACUUUGUGAAAACAUUUAAAUUUACCUUUUUAUCACGUCAUUUUAUUCAGUUCUUCAUGUUUGUGCAAAGGCCUGUACUGAGAAGUACCAUGAAAGGAUCGCUGUUACUGCAUUUACUUUUCCAAGCAAGUCCACAGCAGCCCAGCAUCAAGAUCUAUGGAGGUGUAUGGACAGGUGACACCAUUACAGUAGUGUGUUCGACUUUACACACGUGUCCAUACAGCAAACCAAACAUCACUCUCAACAACAUCGAAGGAUCUGAUGAAAUGGACAAUGAGCAUAUUGAAGACGGCCUGUGGAAAAUCACUCUGACACGCACAUCUGUCACAAAUGCAGAAAAUGCCACUAUUGAGUGUUCAGUAAUAUAUUAUGGCGGCAUAACAGUUACAGCUAUGAAGAGCAUAAACGCACAAUCUCCUGACCAUGAAGAAGCAGACGUGCCCGUUCCAAAUAAGACUGACUGGCUUUACAUCCUAGUGCCCUCACUUGUGUGCAUCCUUACUUGCAUACUUGCUGGUUUCAUACACAAGUUUCGACACAGACAGACCCCUGAGGAUGAUAUGCAAGGAUCUGAACAGAAGGUUGAGGCGUCGCUAGUGAGGGAAAAAGUGACAUUGAGUAUUGGGGGCCCAGAACUAUCGGAAGGUCCACAACGAUCCAUCAAAAGUGCCUUAGCAGUUUCUACCGAAAAGCUUUUUCUAACAACUGCAAUUUUGAGCGGGCAGGACUGUCUUCUCACGCUCCAGACAUCUGAGUACUGUACGGAGGACCUGGAAAACCCAGCGACACCCCGGUCUGCAGGUGAUGAGGGGGACUCACUUGAACAAAAACGUUUCAUUGUAGCAGAAUGA
rnacentral:lncRNA from 1 species